rnacentral:lncRNA from 1 species
GGAAUCACCAGGCUGAAGGCUUAGCUGAAGUUAAAAGACAAGUAAAAAUGCCUCCAAACUGUAAAACCUGAGUUGGGGAAUAAAUGGUAAAAUGUGUAAAAAUUUAGAAAAAGGUUAUAUGUGGACUGUAAAAAAUACACUGGACUCACAGGUAAUUAAGGGGUGAAUCAGAGUUGUUUCCUAAAUGGCAUAAGCCAAACUCUUAGAUAUUUCUACCAUUAGCUAAAAGGCAGAGAAGCACUCUCUCUCUCUAUUAAUGCACUUUUAAAAAUGAAAAUUGUGAAGUGUUCUGCCCUUAAAGUGGACCUUUAUUUCAGGUCUGCAUUACUUUGCUUAAUAGAUAUGGUCCUAAAGAUUAAGGUGGUGAUCCAUUUUAUCUUGUAAAAAUGCAUAAUUUAAUCUGAGUUAUAGGAAUUUAAAGCUGCCCUACUUUGAAGGCCUUUGUGACUCAAAGAUUUUUUUAAUUUAAUUUUUAAAUUGAGAAUUACCUGGCUUGGGCUUUUGGUCUUUUUAUAAUACGUAUUGCUGUCUACUUUUUUUUUUAUUCUUGGCUGCCUCAAGCUAUUCUUGCCUCCAAAAGGUGUCAGCAUAUGAAUAAAAACAGCAGAAAAUAAUUACCCUAAUUAGGUCAAUGUAUUAAGCUGUUUCUACAACUGUUUCUCUUAAACACCUUAUCUUUGUAGUCUUGGCUCAUUAGAAAUUCGACUAGUGGUAAGUAUUUAUUUUUUUCCUUCAAGGGGGUUUUUGCUUUGCUAAGCCUCGGGCAUUUGGUUCGUGCAAGAAAUCACAGAAACUGCUCCAGCGGACUCCGAAAGGAGCGGAAAAUUCUUUUGUUUGGGGGCCAUGAGGGGUGGGGGAGGGGUGGGGAUUCUGGUGUAAGCUUUUGGCUUGCAUUCGCUUUCUCCCUCCGAAAGUGGGCGACAUCAAGCAAGUCCCAGUUACAGAAAGAACCCACUGCAGGGCGUCCAGUCACUUGCCCAGUGAAAAGACUGUAAUCAGACAACUUUAAUAAAGGGAGAGCAGGAGAGUGGUGACGAAUUUCCACAUUCCGAACAAGCUUGUCGAAAGAGGAGUGCAGGGAAGGAGCAAGAAUGAGGCACUGGAAGACGGCUGUAGGCGCAUGAUGUCACAAGUUAUUGGAAGAAAUCCCUCCAACCUAGGUUGGGACAGAUGAAGGCGGCGCUUAUUGGUGUUCACCAAAACACCAGCAUGGUGUACCAGCUUUGGCUAGAUGAUGCUCAGACGGGCCUGUCUAAUUGCAGGAAAACAAACUCAGGGCUCCCACUGAUUCUACAUUACGAUAAAUACCUGGAGUGGGAUUGCUAGAUCACAUGGAAAACACAGAUCCUGGUGCCGAACAUGAGGACAGGGCAGGCCGAAGGAGAAAGUGGAAGGAGGGGAGCUUCUCUCUCAGCCUCAUCCUUCUGGGCCUGGAUGCUGGAGAGUCAUGAGGUGCUUCAGAGUACUCUGGGUGAGGAGGGAAAGAUGGUGCCCACCACAUGGAGGCCAGCCUAGGUCUUGUAUGAAACCUGUGAGGAGAUUCUCUCUCCCUUGCUGUCUUUGAAAAAGCAAGUUGCCAUGUGAAGAGGGCCAUAUAGCAUAGGAGCUGAAGGCAGCCUCCAACUGACGGCAAGAAAAUGAGGUCCUCAGUCUGACAACCUGCAAGAAACUGAAUGUUCUAAAAGCCACAUGAGCUUGGGAGCAGAUCUGACCCCAGCCAAAUCUCUGAAGUCCGCAGGCAGGAAAUGAAGAUCAGAAAAAGGCUAUUGUCUCAUGAAUAUGAGCCAGACUCCACAGAAGCUGGAGUCCUUCAUUAUGGAGCUAAACACAUACACCUGGCUUAGGAGUCAGAAAAACUGAAAGAGAAUUCAGGGAAGUAGAGAAAUUGCAAGCCCAGAUGCUGCUUCAUACCAAAGAAGCAAGUCAGCAGGUCAGCAACAAUGUGUAUCAGUUCCAAAAUGACUUACACAGGUACCAAGACAAGACAUUAUAUACACUUAUAUAGUCAAAUACUUUAAAACUGUUAACAAACUUGCUACAAUUGUCUCAUUUGUCUUUUAACCUUAAUAUCACAGAUCAAGUUUGUAAUCUCAAAAGUUCACCCUGGCUGCUGUGUGGAGUAUUCUCUUAUCUGCUCAUAUUACACUGUGCUUAUUCAUUCAUCAGUUAAUGGAAAUUUGGGUUGUUUCCUGAUUUUGACUGUAAUGAAUAAUGUUGCUGUAAACAUUCAUGUACAGUUUUGUGUGGACAUGCUUUUCUUUCUCUUGGGUAGGUUCCUAUGAGUGGAAUCACUAGAUUGUAUGGUAAAUGUAUGUUUAACUUUUAAAGAAACUGUCAAACUGUUUUCUAACAUGAACGGGCCAUUUUACGUUCUUAUCAACAAUAUAUGAUGGUUUCAAUUUUCCCACAUCCUCACCAACAUUUGGUAUUGUCUCUCUUUUACAUCAUAACUAUUUUAGUGGGGAUGUAGUGAUAUCUUAUCGUGGUUUUAAUUUGUGUCUCCCUAAUGACUAAUGAUAUUGUGCAUCUUUGCAUAUGCUUGUUAGCCAUUUAUGUACAUUCUUUAGUGAAAUGGCUAUUCAAAUCUUCUGCCCAUUUAAAAAUCGAGUUGUUUUUCUUAUUAUUCAGUUGUAAGAGUUUUUUCUUUAUUCUGUGCAAAAGUCCUUUAUCAAGUCUAGGAUUUUUGAAUAUUUUCUCAACCUAGAGCUUGUUUUUCAACAUUUUUUUCUUAAUGAUCUUUUGAAGUGCAAAAGUUUGAUUUUGAUGAAGUCUAAUGUAUCACUUCUUCCUUUAACUGUCAUGAUUUUUGUGUCGUAUCUAAGAACUCUUUACCCAACUCAAAGUUACCAAGGUAUUUUCUUCCAGAAGUUUUGCAGUUUUAACUCUUCUAUAUAGGCCUGUGAUCCAUUUUUAAUUCAUUUUUUGCAUAUGAUGUGAGAGAAGGGCCUAAGUUCAUAUUCGUACAUGUGGAUGUACAAUGGUUCCAGGAUCACUUGCUGAGAAAAGACUAUCCUUUCCCCAUUGAUUUUUUUGGCACCUGUGUCAAAAAUCAAUUGACCAUAAAUGCAAGCGUUUAUAUCUGAACUCUCAGUUCUUCUCCAUUCAUCUCUAAGGAUAUGUCUAUGCUUACAUCAAUAUCACAGUGUAUUCAUGUGGCUUUGUAGUAAAUUUUGAAAUUGGGUGAUAGAAGUCUUUCAAUUUUGUUCUUAGUUUUCAGAAUAGUUUUGGCUGUACUUUGCAUUUUGAUACAAAUUUUAGGAUGUAUGUGUGAAGUUUUACAAAAAUGCUUGCUGGAGUUUUGAUAGGAAUUGUGUUGAACCUAUAGAUCUAUUUGAGGGGGGAAUUGCCAUCUUGACAAGCUUGAGUCUUCCAAUCCAUGGACAGGGAAUGUCUCCAUUUAUUUAAAUCUUCAUUAAUUUUUCUUAGUAACGUUUCACAAUUUUUAGCGUACAAGUCUUAAACUUUUAUUACAUUUAUUUCUGUUUAUUCUUUUUGAGGCUUUGUGAAUAGAAUUUUUUUAAUUUUAUUUUUUGGGCUUGACAUUGCUGAUAUAUACAAAUACAAUAGAUUUUUAAAAUACUGAUCUUAGAUCCUGCAGCUUUGCUAAAUUCUUCGAUUAGUUCUAGAUAUUUUGUGUAUAGAUUCCUUGGUGUUUUCUAUACGCAAGAUUAUGCCAUCUGCAAAUAGAAGCAGUUUUAAUUCUUCCUUUACUCUCAGUCUGCUUUUAAUGAGCUAUUAUGUCUUCUGUUCUGUAUUGGUCAAACCCUCACCUGGAUCACAGUAUUUAUUACUGACCAUCACAGUUUCCUUGAGGAAAUGAAAAAAAUUAAAAAGAUAAAGUAACUAUUACCAUAAUCCCUACAUUCGGACACAAUAUUUAUGAGCAUGUGGGGUAAAUUCUUCCAGACACUCUUGCUAGAGGACGUGUAGCAGAGCUUAUGAUGCACUGAGCCACAUCCUCCAGCCACCAGAUUCCAGUGUAGCUGUGGUGAACUUUGCCUUGCACUUUACCAGUGUCCAUAUAAGCUCAUAUCACAGUGUCUUUCUGUUUUGCUUUCUGGAGGUCAGGGAAGCCUGCUGAGCUAUAUGUAGACCCAACCCAUAUUUUCAAGGUAAUACUCCUUAGUUGAUAGAAGCCCUCAGUCGAUGGGAACAGGAUUUCAUGGAUUAAUGCCCCAGCUCCCCCAUCCUGCAGGACAUAGAAUGUGUGACUAUCCAAGAUGCUUGCAACAUGGUUUCUCAGAGUUCCCAAUGGAAUUGAAUCCCAGCUGCAUACAACUGUAACCCACUCAUUUAUUAACUUUUCUCCCUUCCUCUUUCCCUUCACUUCUGUUUCCUAAGACUACUUCCCUCUAAAUGAUCUGCACCCAAGUCCUUGUCUCAAGGUCUUCUAGAGAAACCCAAACUAAGGCAGUUUGUCAAGGGACAAACUAGGGUACAUCUUUGAAACAGUCAUUAGGAGAGUGAGAGGUCCUGCAACGAUGUAAUAUAAAAGCAGUGAAAAUAGCUGAGAAAAUUAGAAAAAGAGAAAACUUACAGGAAUAAUCAUAGUCAUCUUUAAAUACCUGCAAAGUAAUCAGAUAUAAGAGGACCAAAGGAGACACUGGUUUUAACUGAGCACCUUCCAGGUUAUAUACUAGCUACUAUGAAGUGUAUUUAUUCCAUCCUUACAGCAACCCAGAGGCAAUGAGAACUACCCUUAUUUUUCAAAUAAGAAAACUGAGACACAGAUGAUUAAGGAAUUUGCCAAGGUCCAAAGCUAACAGGUAUUGGAACUAGGAUUCAAAUCCAAGCCUGUCUGCCCCCUAACCUGUGUCUUGCUGCUGUGUGUUUUGCUUUGAAGGGCAAAACAGAGACCAGCAGGUAGACAUUCUAAAUCCAUAGAAUUGUGUUUAUAUGAAUGCAGUGUGUGGCAGAGAUUGUCUAGAUGUUCAUCAAUGCUGUUUUCUCUGUUCUGUUUCUGGACAUACAGGAACACUUCAUGUCCUAGCCUCCUUUAUAAGUAGAUUGGGGCCAUGUAACAGGGUUCUGGCAAAUGGGAAUGUGCAGAUGUGAUAUGUGAUGCUCCUGAUUCAUUCAUUCUGUCUCUUUCUCUCUCUCCCUCUCAGCUAGCUGAAAGCAGAGAACCCAGCAGAGGAUUCUGGGAAGGUCCUGGGGGAUGGCAGAGCCAGCAGAGAGAGGGUAUGGAUCCACCAGGCAUAGGAUGGAACAGAGCACUAUUGACCACAGUGAACUGGGGCAUGGGCAAUCAAUAAACACAUAUUAGAUUAAGCUAUUGAGACUCAGGGAUUUUUAUACAACUGACAUUCCCUAAGAAGCCAUGAUCUUCCUGUCUCAGGAGGUGCAUAAGCAGUGGUUGAAUGUUCAACAGUCAAGAAUGUUAUAAAAAGAGGUUCUUGGGAGAGUGGACCUGAUGGCCAGCAAAAAUCAUAGCUCACAUUUAUUGAGUUAUUAUGGCUCAGGCAUGUGCACAUAUUCUUUUAUUUAAAUCUACAAUAUGCUUUAUCAUGCUCAUUUUAUACAUGAGGAACACAAGGCAUGGAGAGGUUAGAUAACAUGCCUAAGAUCAUGAAGCAAGCAAGGGGGAGAAAAGAUACCCUUCUCACUCCUUCCAGACAGCUCACUUCACCACCACUCCCCACUGUCUCUAAAGCAAAAGUUAUUUGAAGGCUUAGGGACUGGUUUGGUAUUAUCCAUGCAGGGCGGUUUGUUUUGUUUUUCUUUUAAAAUUUCAGCCUAUGCUUAAAAGAUUUCAUGUAAAAAUUCUGUUUUCUAGUUUCUCUUGAAAAUUAAGAAGAUCUGGUAAAACUGGGCUUGAAGACCAUUAUGGUAACAGGCUGCUGAAGCUGAGGAGAGGGCCCCUUCAGAUGGGCAUAAGCACUGCUCCCCCUCCCCAACCCCCCUUUUAGGUUACUAUCAGACUCUGGAAGCUUCUGAAUGUGUGAACCCUGAAAGAGUCCAUCUAAAGCUAAGUUCUCCCCAGGGGUAGAGCCCAAUGCUGGGCAUACAGUAGGG